ensembl:misc_RNA
CUGACUUGAUUGAUAACUGAAGACCUCUAAUUAUCCACAGAACAGGAACAGUAUGGACAAUAGUGGUGGAAGUGUUCCCACAUUGCCCUGUCUCACCUUUUACCUGGCAGGAUUUAUCUUUAGGGGUGGAAGGAAGUUCAUUCUCGAUGACUGUUCACGGCCUAGGCUCU